ensembl:lncRNA
AAAGCACUCAUAGCCAACAGCUCCUCUGGUGCUGAGAAACUCCUGGAUUUCAGGCAGGUAGUACAGUUUUACUGAUGUUGUUUUGCAUGGUAGCAGGGGAGGUCAGCUACUACAGCUCUGUCCAAGCUAGGUCUGAGGAUGCAUGCUUGUAUCAGAAGAUAAAGCAUCAAUAUGACUACAGAUUUUACUUCAAAAUCAAGCAGUGCCAAGGCAUGUGUGCACGAAAAAGAAUCAUCAAAUCACAGAAUCCUUAAAGCUGGAAGGGAAGGGACCUCUGAAGGCCAUCUAGUCCAGCUCCCCUGCAAUGAGCAGGGAUAUCUACAGCUUGAUCAGGUUACCCAGGGCCUAAUCCAGCCUCACCUUGAAAGUCUCCAGGGACAGCUUGACUGAUGUUGGUUGAUGAAAGAUUCAACAUGAGCCGGCAAUAUGCGCUUGCAGCCCGGAAGGCCAACUGUAUCCUGGACUGCACAAAGAGAAUUGUGACCAGCAGGUUGAGGGAGGUGAUUCUGCCCCUCUACUCUGCUCUCGUGAGACCCCACCUGGAGUACUGCACCCACUUCUGGGGACAAGAAGGAAAUGGAGCUGUAGGAGUGGGUCCCAAGGAGGGCCACAAAGAUGAUCAGACGGCUGGAGCACCUCCCCUGUGACAACAGCCUGUGAGAGCUGAGACUCUUCAGCCUGGAGAAGAGAAGGCACUGUGGGGGUCAUUAUAGUUGUCCUCUAGUGCCUGAGGGGGCCACCUACAGAAAAGCUGGGGAGAGACUUUUCAUAAGGGCAUGUAGUAACGGGAUGAAAGGAAAUUGUUUUAAACUGGAAGGAGGUAGAAUUAGACUGUAUAUGACGAAGAAGUUCUUCACUGUGGAGGUAGUGAGACACUGGAGCAGGUUGCUCAGUGAGGCUGUGGAUGCCCCCUCCCUUGAAGCAUUCAAGACCAGGCUGGAUGGGGCUUUGAGCAACCUGGUCUAGAGGAAGCUGUACCUACCUAUAGCAGGGUGUUGGAACUAUAUGACCUUAAAUGUCCCUUCCAACCCAAACUAUUCUAUGAUUCUAUGACUCUUACUAUCAUUGUUGAGAUUGUUAGAUAUUCAUAUCUCUGUAGCAGGAACAUUUAGGUCAUGUUUAAACCAAAAAUGAAAUGAAACUUUAACAAUUUUUUUUUUUAAUGAUUAUCUUCAGAGACUUUAAAAGAAGGGGAAAAUUAUUUAACUUUUCAUUGGCUAGAUUCUGUCCUUUGUAAACCACUGAAAAGAACACUCUAUGACACAUUUUUCUUCUAAUUCUUUUUUAAAACGAGAAAGUAAAGAAGGAAGGGAAGGAGGAGUUGGACUGGAAAUAGUUGUAAAAUAGUAACAGAUUAUUUCCUACACCUUUUCUUCCAUUUGAUGGGCCUGCCUGUUCCCCUUAAUUCUCCUUGUGGUUUCUGUUAAUUUUUCCUAAGUAGUGAGUUGGGAGCAGGAAGUUAGGAAAACCAUCAUGCUAUAUGCAGUAGAAAAAGCCUCAUAAGAUACUUUAAAGACCUAGAAGUUCUUUAUAUUAUCUGAGCAAGGGGGCUAGACCAGCAUGGAUGCCUGACAAAGAACCAGGACAUAGAUUUUAUGCUUGUUGCCACGGUAAAAUAGCCAAAUGUGGAUUUCUGAAGAAAAACAUAUGUAAAAAGGGAAAAAAACAAAAAUGUGGGUGCUCAUGGUCUAGACUGAAUUAAUACAAUUUUGCAUUACAAAUCAUUACAAGCUAUUUACAGAUUUUCUAUCCCUACUCAGGAUUUUGCUUUGCUACUCGAGGCACCUAUAGCUCUUUCAGUAUUUCCUCACCAGCUGAGCUCCUUUCAAGUCAUUUUUCUUUUGAUGGUUCAUUUGAUUUUUUAGUAUAUUUUUAAAGGGAUCAGUAUCAAUAAUUAGGAAAAUGUUCAGAGGAAAACCUUAAAAACAUUAUUUCCUUUCAGUUUUCAAGUCAGAAAAGAAUAUGUGUGAUCCACUGCUCAUUCAUGUUACUUUUAUCAGUAGUUUCCCUUAUUUUAGCAAAAAAAUGAGGGAUUAAAUAAUAGUUAGAUGGACAUUUUUAAUGCAUUUUUAGUGUGCAAGAUUAUUCUUCAUGGUCAGUCAUGCUGUGAGAAAUAUCCAUACUGGAUAUACUCUCUAGUGAAGUGAAAUAGCUUAGUAGUGUAAACUUGAUGCCCAGAGGGACGCCCAUUUCUUCUUCCUUUCAGUAACUUCUGCUGUUUUCUUUGACGGCCAUGAUAGCAAUUACUUCAGCCAAUUGAGAACAAGGAGGCAUUUGUUUCCUCUGUAUUAAUCACUUGUGGAAUUGCAGCUUCAGGGUAUGUUCAUCGAACUGAGCCACACAGGUUACAUUCUUCAGUUCCUGACUAUACUCAUUACACAGGAAAUGAGAAGAGGUUUGAAGAGGCUGAGAAUAUCUUUUUGUGUAAUGGUAAGAAGAAACCUCCAGUGACAACACAUUUGGACAAAAACUAAUAAGAUUGUAGAAUGAUCCUAAACAUUUGUGACAGAAUGUUGUUUUUCUUUACAUUCGUUUACUUCACUUUUAAGGGUAACUUUCAUAAUCCAGCAGUUAAACUAUUCCAUCAUCCUUCAUUUUUAACACCUGCAACAUGGUUUCCAUGGUAUGAUUAACGUUUCUCUUUCUGAUGGCACAAAACAGAUCUAAAUUCCUUACUAUCACUUAUCUGUAUGAAGAAAAUUAAUGUGAUUUUCCAAAACAAAUUUAUGUGUAAUACAAAAUUUGUACAGAAUUUUUCUACAAAGAAGAAAAUUUGUUGAGCCUCGUCAUUUGCUUAGGGAGUCAAAUCUAACCUUGAAGCUUCAAAUAGAAGUGACAAAUUAAAUACUUUCAAUUAUGAAAAAUGUCAGUUCAGUACUAUCAUGGAAAGUGCCUUAUUCCAGAAUAUGCUGAAGUAUGAAAUAAAUCCUGAGCAAAGAAGCUUCCUAAAUUGUAUGUACUCUCACAAAUGUCAACAGAAGUUUGCCACUAUGUGCAGUCUGAAAGAAUUGUUUUUCUCUGUAUCUAAACUGUAACAACAACAUAUAUGCAGAAAAAGUAAUGUCUUAUAUGUAUCAAAUUGUUCAUCUGUAAAUGGAUAUGAAAAGCUUAAUUUUUAGGGAACAUUUUCUGAAUUGUGGUCCAUUAAGAACUCAGUUUUGGAGAGUGAACUCCUUUCAUCCCAGAGCCUGUCAAAAAUAAAAAAGAAAACAAGGAAGGUAUGAAAUGUCAAGUAAGUAAACCAUUGCAGGAGAAGAAACUAACUCACUUAAAGAUGUAUCCAUGCAGGGAAACCACAAUUCAUCUGUGAAGACAAGGAAAAGUUAAUUUGUAAUAUCUUAGAAUCAUAGAAUAAUAAAUUGUUUGAGUUGGAAGGGACCCUGAAAGUUAAUCUAGUCCAACUCCCCUUCAAUGAACAGGAACUGCUACAGCUACAUCAGGUUGCUCAGAGGCUUGUCCAGCCUGACGUUGAGUGUCUUCAAGGAUGGGGCUUCUACAACCUCUCUGGGCAACCCACUCCAGUGACUCACCACCCUUAUUGUAAAAAACCUCUUCCUUAUAUCCAACCUAAAUCUCCCCUCAUUUAGUUUGAAACCAUUUCCCCUUGUUUUAUGACAACACAACCUGCUAAAGAGUCUGUCCCUCUCUUUCUUACAGCUCUCCUUUAGACAUUGGAAGGCCACUUUCAGUUCUUCCUGAAGACUUCUCUUCUCCUGGCUGAAGAGCCCCAAUUCUCUCAGCCUGUCAUCAUAGGAGAGGUGUUCGAUUCCACAGAUCAUUUUUGUGGCCCUCCUCUGGGUGUGCUCCAACAGGUCCAUGUCUCUCCUGUACCGAGGACACCACAUUUGGAUGCUGUUCUCCAGGUGAGGCCUCACAAGCCCAGAGUACAGGAACAGGAUCACCUCCUCUGACCUGCUGGCCAUGCAGGUUACCCAGCUUCUGAAGCCUUGGAAUUACAUUUUUUUUUAAGACUUUUUCUUUUUCUUCUCGUUUUUUUUUCUGCAUGAAAGUGGCAUUGUGUAGCACUAAGUCAACUUGAAUUAAAAAAAAUAAUAAAUGUUACCACAAGGA